UACGUAGGGUGCGAGCGUUGUCCGGAAUUAUUGGGCGUAAAGAGCUCGUAGGCGGUCUGUCGCGUCGGUCGUGAAAACUUGGGGCUUAACCCUGAGCUUGCGGUCGAUACGGGCGGGCUAGGAUUCGGUAGGGGAGACUGGAAUUCCUGGUGUAGCGGUGAAAUGCGCAGAUAUCAGGAGGAACACCGGUGGCGAAGGCGGUGGUCUGGGCCGGCACUGACGCUGAGGAGCGAAAGCGUGGGUAGCAAACAGG
rnacentral:rRNA from 1 species